AAAAAAAAUGGCUCGCCUCAAUAGCGAGCCCCAUGUUUCUUACGCAUCCAUGCGUAAGUCUUCAAUGGGAGAGGAGAAACCGGAGGAAGAGCUUAUUGGGGAAACGUAAGUCUUCUCCGCG
rnacentral:ncRNA from 1 species